GCUUUGAAGUAGACUUACGUCGGAUUGCAAAUCCGAAAUCGGAGGUUAAACCCUCCCCAAGCUUU
rnacentral:tRNA from 1 species